UUUCUCUCUCUCUCUCUUUCCUUCUCUUUUUCUUUCUCUCUCUCUCUCUCUUUCUCUCUCUCUCUGCUGCUACGACUCGCGAACGCGGGCGAGCAGAGAUAAAAAAAAAAGAAAGAGACAGCAUCACAAGGCGAGGAUCGAACGAUGCACUCCAGCACUAUAUAACCUCACGGAGAGACGAAAGCGCCACAUAUAGACAAAAAAAAAAGCAAAUACGUGAGCACAGCUCUUGGCAAUUGCACUCUGUUCGUUUGAAGCUGCCGAUAAGGGAAUAAAUAAUAUUAUGGAAAAAAAAAUUAAAAUCAUACAAUUAAAAUGAUGUGUACCUGUUGACGGGAUUGAAACUCUUCACAAUAACUAAAUUUUGCAAAAUGCGUGAAGCGAAGCACCAAAUUAGAGAAACAGACGAACACAAAAACAGUCACGAUCUUUUGCGAGGUGAAAAUAAGACAAUGAGGUAAGCUCCCCCGCGGUUCAAGGAACGAACGGGGCACACGUUCGAAGGGCAAAAUCUACUUUCGACGAAACUGCAGCCGGAGCAAGGUCAAAGGAGACACGCGUAGUACGAUCGCGCGAACGGUUUUCUCUCGUGGGCUACGUUAAGGUGCGUUUGGACUCGUUCGACGACCGUGCAGUAUAUGAGAGAGGAGGCAUGCAUCGUUGGCCCAGGCCCGUAGCCGGGACCUUUAAGCGGAAGAGGUUAUACACGCGUCUACCGCCGAGGGGCUUCGCGGUUUUAACAGAAAAUGACGCUCGCUGUUUUAUGUAUAUAUGUACAUAUAUAUGUUAUAUAUAUGUAUAGAUUUGAAGAAUAUCUUACAAUUUUAUCUUUUUAAUAUAUAUAUAUAUAUAUAUUCAAAUUGAAAUAUCAUUUAGAAAUUAUAUCAAUUGAAAAACGAAAAAAAAUUAACUUGUCUGUUCUUGAAUUAUAAGUUGAUAACAUAUAUAUAUAUAUUAUAUAUUAUAUAUAUUAUAUAUUAUAUAUUAUAUAUUAUAUAUUAUAUAUAUAUAUAUUGAAAGAUAAAAAAUAAAAAUGAAAAUUGAUAUUCGUGCUGGAUUUAUUUUCGUUAGUAUCCCAGAAAAUGAAUUCUAGCUAGUUAGUUACGCAAUCUGAGAGUGCACGUACGUAUGCAGUGACUAAUAUUUUAUGCGCAUCAAUGUAUGUAUAUAUGUAUGUUGCAUGUAUAUGUACUUUUUUUUCUAUCGAAAAGAUUAUU